AUGGCUGAGCUAGAUGGGUUCGGCGCCCAGGCCGGCCCCGCGCUGGGGAACCGGGUGGCUGGCGAGGAAGACCCGGCCGCGGCCUUCCUGGCGCAGCAGGAAAGCAAGAUUGCGGGCAUCGAGAACAACGAGGCCUUCGCCGUCCUGGACGGCGGUGCCCCUGGGCCCCAGCCCCACGGUGAGCCGGGGGUGGGGGAUGGGGAGGAGGGGGUGUUCCAGAUGCUGUUGAUGGAGUGAUGAAUGGAGAAUACUAUCAGGAGAGUAAUGGUCCAACAGACAGUUAUGCAGCUAUUUCAUAAGUGGAUCAAUUGCAGUCAGAACCUGAAAGUAUCUGUAAAUGGAGAGAAGAGCAAACCAAGCGUUUAGAAGCCCUUGAUGCCAAUUCUCGGAAGCAAGAAGCAGAGUGGAAAGAAAAAGCAAUAAAAGCACUAGAAGAGUGGUAUGCACAGCAGGACGAGCAGUUACAAAAGUCAAAAGCAAACAACAGGGCAGCAGAAGAAGCCUUUGUAAAUGACAUUGAUGAGUCAUCCCCAGGCACAGAGUGGGAAUGGGUGGCCCGGCUGUGUGACUUUAACCCUAAGUCCAGCAAGCAGACCAAAGAUGUCUCCCGCAUGCGUUCAGUCCUCAUCUCCCUCAAGCAGGCCCCCCUGGUGCACUGAAGAGCCAUCCUUGGAGACACUACAUCUUCAGUAUCUUAAUCCUACUCAGUAAAGCUGUUCAC